CAACCCUUACCAGGGUCUUGACCUUCCUGCGAAGGCUCCAGAGAUGGAGCUGUGCCUGAGAGGAAUGCAGAGACAGUUGCUGCAUGGCUGUCGUCCAGCUCGUGUCCGUGAGAUGUUGGGUUAAGUCCCGUAACGAGCGCAACCCUUAUGCUUAGUUGCUAGCGAGUUAUAGUCGUGAACUCUAAGCAGACUGCCGGUGACAAACCGGAGGAAGGUGGGGACGACGUCAAGUCAUCAUGGCCCUUACGACCUGGGCUACACACGUGCUACAAUGGUCAGUACAAAGGGAAGCGAAGCGGAGACGUGUAGCCAAUCCUUGAAAGCUGAUCGUAGUCCGGAUUGGGGUCUGCAACUCGACCCCAUGAAGUCGGAAUCGCUAGUAAUCGCCAAUCAGCAUGUGGCGGUGAAUACGUUCCCGGGCCUUGUACACACCGCCCGUCACACCAUGGGAGUGGGCUGCUCCAGAAGUGGUUAGACUAACCU
rnacentral:rRNA from 1 species